AUAUGAUCUCCUGCUGUCACUCCAUCGCCUUCCCUCCCAGCAAGCUUGAGAUCCUCUCCCCCACAUGGAAUCUUUGAACAUCCCACCUCAAAACUGUUUCGGAUGCUAGAAAUCCAUGGCUUAGAAGUUCCAGCCCUCCAUGAACCGUUGGGUUGAGGUUCUCUGGGUCCUGGGUUAAGGAUUCUGCAGCUGCUUCAGGCUGAUGAGUGAUGGCUGCCAUCGGCCUUAGAGAAUGUGGGGCAGCCCAAAGUAUGGCCUCACACUUUGCCGUCGUUCAAGUUCCAAACUCCUUAUUCUAUAGAUGAAGAAGCUGAUGUGGAAGGAGGGGAAGGCACUGGGCCGAGGAGUUAAGAAAGAGCAGCCUGACAUGUCUCAUGCACCUCCUGUGAGCUGCACGCCAGCCACCGUGUCUGGAGGAAGCUGAUGUGGAAGGAGGGGAAAGCACUGUGACCUCCAGGAGCCAAUGCACUGGACCCCAGGGUCUCAAAUAGCAAAGGCCAACCCAAGACCAGCGAGGCCCGGCAGCUCAGGAGGCAGGUGAAAUGGCGUGGCAGGAAGCCACAGGAAUCUCACAGAGGGGAUGAAUCAUUUCAGGCUGGAAGCAUCCUCUUACAGAAGUUUCCUUUUCACCACUUGAGAGGUAGAACAGAGUAAAUUAUUAGUAGUGCUGGAAAAGCCAGUCGCCCUCCCAUGUGAGCAAUGCCGGGAACUUCUCAGAGAGCUUUCCUAUCUGACAUUGUUCGAGACACUGGGAUGCCCUAAAAAGGUGGACAGUGAGGCUCAGCCUGUCCUGUUUCAUUAAGGAAGAAAUUGGGGCUCAGGGAGAUGAUCUGGCCUGAGGCCACACAGCCCAACCUCCAGGACUCCUGGUUUAGCACCUGGUGCCUUGGGUCUCUCUUCCCUCUGGGGCUGGAAAAGCAGGACCGGGAACUGUUUUUUGGCUUGUCUUCCAGAGAAAGAGAAUCAUUGUCUCGCCUUCUGUGUUCCACUCUCCUCCUCACUGGUGCCUUUUGUCCCCGCCUGCUCUGUGCCAGCAUUGAGCCUGGGGCUUUCCACACACCAUCUCACGAACCUCGCAAAAGCUACAUGAAGGGGGAGCGCUCAUUGGCCCAUUGUGCAGGCAAGGAAACUAAGGCUCAGAGCAGUUGAGGGUUCAAUGCCAAGACUGGACUCCAAAUGUCUGCUCUUUCCUCUCAGCUAUAAGCCUCUUGCCUUCAAGCUCUCCUGCACCGGUUAUUAAGCCAAAGCGGCAUCUGCUGUGGCCAUGUUUUGCGGGGGAGAGAAAGUCAUCGCUCAGUCUCCUUUGCUGAAAAUGGGUGUAAUGAUCAAAGUACUCCCUUCCUACAGUCCUUGGGUAGACUGAGAUCAUGGCUAGGAAACGGAGCCUGACACAUGAGCAGUCUUAUUAUUUUAUCGCCCUUGCUGCCACCGCUCCUGUUAUGUUGAUCUAACACAAGACAAAAACAGAGUCUUGAGAAUCUCAACGUGCUGUAUCCAAGGCAGGGACUGAGGGGGUUGGGCUGCUGCCACGAGGACUGGGGGGAAUUGAGGGCUCAGGGGAGGCAGGAAGAUGAAGGACUGUUAAGGUUUUACGUUUUCCGGCAGGAUUUAGUGGGAGUGGAGCCUGCAGAGGGGGUGGCACAGGGCUGGGACCAGCACGGGGCUGGAUUCCAAGCAUCCCAAAGGCCAGACCCCAGUGCCUGUGCCUCUGAGCCCGGGUCCAGCCCUGCCACCCAGGCCCCAUCUGCCUGCAUUGCCAUCUCCUUGGCUUGUUAACUCGGUCAGUCCCUGGGAUUUUAUCAGGCGCCUCUGAGGUGCCCAUUUCUGGGCAGCAGCAUUGCAGGAAGAGGAAAGGCCUGUGACAGAGCAGGGCACCAGCUCAGGUCCCAACGGGGCUGAGUUCUAGCCCAGCUCCCUCACUUCCACGCAUGGGCUCAGAACACACUGGAUCCACAAUAAAGCUUUUGAUGAAUG
rnacentral:lncRNA from 1 species